rnacentral:rRNA from 1 species
AUACAGAGGAUGCGAGCGUUAAUCGGAAUUACUGGGCGUAAAGCGCGCGUAGGCGGCUUAUUAAGUCAGAUGUGAAAUCCCCGGGCUCAACCUGGGAACUACAUCUGAUACUGGUAAGCUAGAGUUUUGGAGAGGGAAGUAGAAUUUCAGGUGUAGCGGUGAAAUGCAUAGAGAUCUGAAGGAAUACCAGUGGCGAAGGCGACUUCCUGGCCAAAAACUGACGCUGAGGUGCGAAAGCGUGGGUAGCAAACGGGAUUAGAAACCCUAGUAGUCC